UGGCGGACGGGUGAGUAACGCUGGGGGAACCUGCCUUGCACCGGGGGAUAACACUUAGAAAUAGGUGCUAAUACCGCAUAAGCGCACAGAGCCGCAUGGACUCGGUGUGUAAAAACUCCGGUGGUGCAAGAUGGACCCGCGUCUGAUUAGCUGGUUGGCGGGGUAACGGCCCACCAAGGCGACGAUCAGUAGCCGGCCUGAGAGGGUGAACGGCCACAUUGGGACUGAGACACGGCCCAAACUCCUACGGAAGGCAGCAG
rnacentral:rRNA from 1 species